rnacentral:rRNA from 1 species
AUUGAACGCUGGCGGCAGGCCUAACACAUGCAAGUCGAGCGGCAGCGGGAAAGUAGCUUGCUACUUUUGCCGGCGGGCGGCGGACGGGUGAGUAAUGCCUGGGAAAUUGCCCAGUCGAGGGGGAUAACAGUUGGAAACGACUGCUAAUACCGCAUACGCCCUACGGGGGAAAGCAGGAGACCUCCGGGCCUUGCGCGAUUGGAUAUGCCCAGGUGGGAUUAGCUAGUUGGUGAGGUAAUGGCUCACCAAGGCGACGAUCCCUAGCUGGUCUGAGAGGAUGAUCAGCCACACUGGAACUGAGACACGGUCCAGACUCCUACGGGAGGCAGCAGUGGGGAAUAUUGCACAAUGGGGGAAACCCUGAUGCAGCCAUGCCGCGUGUGUGAAGAAGGCCUUCGGGUUGUAAAGCACUUUCAGCGAGGAGGAAAGGUUGAUGCCUAAUACGUAUCAACUGUGACGUUACUCGCAGAAGAAGCACCGGCUAACUCCGUGCCAGCCGCCGCCGUAA